AAUCCCUGCUUGGACGCGAAAAACCGCCUUGCAAAUAGGGUUGCCUUGGCCUCCGGGAGCGGAAAGGCUCCGGGGGCGGGGGAGGGGGGUGUGUGUGUAACUCGCGGCUACAACCUGUCGAGCUUUUGACAGUGUCCGAACCCCUUAUUAAAUGUGAUCUUGGAGGGUUUCGUGACAGCGUUGGCAAAACAGGGAUUCUUUUUUGAGGCGACAACAAAGGCUCGGGUCACAUAUAAAGUGGAGGAAAGAGAAAAGAUUAGAAAUUCUUUCUACACACAUGCUGUCAUGCACACCCCAACGCACGGGCAUCCUCCCUCUCCCUUCACGAAACUUGGAAGAAAUGGGGUGAGAUGGAGAAGGACACCGACCGUCGGAAAUCUGGAAGUGGAAAGAAGCCUCAGGGUUUUCAAAUUCUCUGAUCGUGGCAACCGGAACCAAGAGAGGCUUCUUUUCUGUCUGCGGUUGGCAGAACCUGAGAGAUGCUGCUACUUGAACCCUGGAGCGGAAGGGUACAUGAUUGGUGCUGUCCCCAUGCUGGACACUUAGACGUUUUGUGCAUAUACAAAUAAAACAGUCUUUUUUCACUU